rnacentral:lncRNA from 1 species
AGGUGGAGAUUGAAGAAACAAUGGAGAUGAGUAAGAAUAAUUAAAAGGUUUAAUUAUUUAUAGCAAGGAUUAAUUAAUAUGUUAAUUAAUCAAACAAAUAAGUUCGUUAAAGACCUUGGGAUAGUUUUGGACCUUAAGGCCCAAUGGGCUUCGAACGUCAAGCCCAUUGACUUAAGUUGUAUGACAAUUUAAUGAAUACAGAUUCACAAAGGCCCAAAAGCCCAAAUCCCUAAUGUGGCCGGCCAUAUGUGUUGAAUUAGGGUUUUUUGGUUCUUUAGGUCAUUUAUAGAAGUGACUAUAUAAAGAACUUUAUAGCCUAAAAUUCAUAAGGGGGUUCUUUUGGAGAAAAUUGGUGAGAACUUGUCUCUCCUUUUCUCUCUAGGAGGCCGGCCCCCUUGGAGGGUGGAUCUAGCAAUCCCACUACUCCAAGGUCACUCAUUCCUUCUCCAAUCUCUCCUUGGUGUGGAGACUUAGAGGUUCUCAAUUUUGGGAACUUGGAGAAACCUUUUCUUCCAUCCAAAUCCAUAGAUUUUAGAUGCAAGGAAUGAAGGCCCUCUCCUUGGGUGAUUAGCCUUUGCUUAUGCAAAGAGGAAUCUACAAAGGUAUAAAUCUCAACUCACUUUGUUUUGAGUUGAUUCUUGGUUCACCAAUCUAUUAGGCUUUGAAUUUCAUGGGUAAUGUUUUGCUUUUGAAUGCAUGCAAGCAUGAUUCCGCCUUUUAAUUGUUAAAUGCAUGCUAUAGAUGUUAUUCAAAUGAACAUGUUUUCACAAAAUUAUCCUUCAAGUGGUAUCAGAGCCUAGGUCUAGUAGUUGGUGAAUCCUUUUGGGUUUUGUAGUUCAUAGUUUUGAUUUAAAAGUUGUAAUAUGUUACAAUCUUUAUUCUUGUUUCUUUGAAUGUAAAUUUUGUUAGAAAAUUUGCCAUCUCAAAUGUUGUAGAUGUAGUUGUAAACACGAAAUUUUCCUGAAACGAAAGAGACAAGAACAACGUGCACAAAAUAAUAUUUGUAUUUGAUGAUUUUGGGUUACAAUCUCUCUUAAAUUUGAUCAUCUGAUUCAAUCUCCGUAAGGUGUUGAUUUGUGGAUGUGCGAUUGAUCCAAAGGGCCGUUGGGCUUGAUCUAAGGAUGAGCGUUCUUCAAGGGCCAUGGACUUGAUCUUGAAGGUGGAUUUAAGCGGAUCUUCAAAGGGGCUUUUGGGCUUGAUCUUUGAAGAACAGUGAUGAACGGAUCUCCAGGGGCUUUUGGGCUUUGAUCUUGAAGAACGGUUGGACGCGU